CAGGCAAGAAUGUUACGUCGUGUGGAAUUCACUCAGAUUCAUGUUGAAGAAAAGAAUCUUGUGGACCGAUUGAGGCUUGGAGCCAACAGCAUCGGUUUCAAAAUAAAUUACAGUCUAAUUUUACCACCAAACU